rnacentral:lncRNA from 1 species
GCGCCAUCGCUGAGCGAUAGUUGAGUGCCGCACCUACCGCUGAGCGCUAGUGACAUAUGUUUUGGGCCAAUUUUCUGCUAUUUUUAUGAUCUGUUUUGGGCCUGGACCCGUUUUCUCUUAUUUUUCUACCCUAUUUAAAGACCCAGACAUCUUAGGAUUUGUAUCUUUUGAUGGCUUAAGCACAAAAACACAUUUUUCACCCCUUUGGGGGCAGAUUUAGGGAUGUGAGAGCUCUCCUCUUCUCUUUCUAGGGUUUUAUCUCUCCCAUUCCAUUGUACACUUAGUUUUUCCAUGAAGAUGGAGAACUAAUCUUAUUUGUUGUUGGGAAA